UUGGAUUUACGAGAGGGAGCCAAUCUUUAUGCAUGUAAUACCUUGGCCAAAAGUGAACCAGGCAUGGUCCACUUGAAAGGCCUGGUGUUUUAUUUGGGGUGCAACCUGGAGUUUGGCCCAUGGACUAGUUUGAAAUGGGCCUUGUAUAGCCCAAAUCGGGGUGAAGACCCGUAUUUUAGUAUGGGGAGGAGGCAGUCUGCUCCUCUCCGAUUUCUGAUGGAGGCUAGGAAAGCCAGCUUCCACCAGCUAUAUAAGAACCCCACCACCCCUAGAGAGGCAUCUCGAGCUUCUCUCUCUUUCUCUCUUGGUUUUUGGUUUUAUCUCAAGAGUUUGGCUACCAUCUCCUACUAGCUAUUCUGUGAGACCCUGGAACUGGGCCCGGUCUACUUCACCGGCCCAGUCCCAAGACUUGGCCUCACGUGAGGCAGCGGGAUGGAUUCUUUCCAUCCCGAAGAAGAAGGAAGCCUUGUUUUUAGGGCUUCUUCUCCUUCCCUUUGAGACCACCGGAAGAGGAGCCGCCAGACCUCCUUCCUUGGGUGUUCUUCUUACUCGUGCAGCCAUCCGAGAGAGAGAGAGAGAGAGAGAGG
rnacentral:lncRNA from 1 species